rnacentral:tRNA from 1 species
GACGACCUACGGGGCCGUACCGGCCUGUCGCGCCGGAGGUCGCGGGGGUUCGAGUCCCGUCCCUC